rnacentral:rRNA from 1 species
GUAGGGUGCGAGCGUUAAUCGGAAUUACUGGGCGUAAAGCGUGCGCAGGCGGUUGUGCAAGACAGGUGUGAAAUCCCCGGGCUUAACCUGGGAACUGCACUUGUGACUGCACAGCUGGAGUGCGGCAGAGGGGGAUGGAAUUCCGCGUGUAGCAGUGAAAUGCGUAGAUAUGCGGAGGAACACCGAUGGCGAAGGCAAUCCCCUGGGCCUGCACUGACGCUCAUGCACGAAAGCGUGGGGAGCAAACAGGAUUAGAUACCCUGGUAGUCCACGCCCUAAACGAUGUCAACUGGUUGUUGGACGGCUUGCUGUUCAGUAACGUAGCUAACGCGUGAAGUUGACCGCCUGGGGAGUACGGCCGCAAGGUUGAA